rnacentral:rRNA from 1 species
GAUGAACGCUGGCGGCGUGCCUAACACAUGCAAGUCGAACGAAGCACUUUAGCUUGAUUCUUCGGAUGAAGGCUAUUGUGACUGAGUGGCGGACGGGUGAGUAACGCGUGGGUAACCUGCCUCAUACAGGGGGAUAACAGUUAGAAAUGACUGCUAAUACCGCAUAAGACCACGGAGUCGCAUGACUCAGUGGGAAAAACUCUGGUGGUAUGAGAUGGACCCGCGUCUGAUUAGGUAGUUGGUGGGGUAACGGCCUACCAAGCCGACGAUCAGUAGCCGACCUGAGAGGGUGACCGGCCACAUUGGGACUGAGACACGGCCCAAACUCAUACGGGAGGCAGCAGUGGGGAAUAUUGCACAAUGGGGGAAACCCUGAUGCAGCGACGCCGCGUGAGCGAAGAAGUAUUUCGGUAUGUAAAGCUCUAUCAGCAGGGAAGAAAAUGACGGUACCUGACUAAGAAGCACCGGCUAAAUACGUGCCAGCCGCCCGCCGCAG